rnacentral:rRNA from 1 species
UGGGGAAUAUUGCACAAUGGGCGCAAGCCUGAUGCAGCCAUGCCGCGUGUGUGAAGAAGGCCUUCGGGUUGUAAAGCACUUUCAGUCGGGAGGAAGGUGGUAAGGUUAAUAACCUUGGCAAUUGACGUUACCGACAGAAGAAGCACCGGCUAACUCCGUGCCAGCAGCCGCGGUAAUACGGAGGGUGCAAGCGUUAAUCGGAAUUACUGGGCGUAAAGCGCACGCAGGCGGUUGAUUGAGUCAGAUGUGAAAUCCCCGGGCUUAACCCGGGAAUUGCAUCUGAUACUGGUCAGCUAGAGUCUUGUAGAGGGGGGUAGAAUUCCAUGUGUAGCGGUGAAAUGCGUAGAGAUCUGGAGGAAUACCGGUGGCGAAGGCGGCCCCCUGGACGAAGACUGACGCUCAGGUGCGAAAGCGUGGGGAGCAAACAGG